GCGAGGUACCUUCUUCUUGUAUCGAUCUCGGCCUACACCUACGACCAAACAUGGCUUGACCGGUGUUUGGUUCAUCCACGACUCAUAGUCCCUAUAAGACUAAAAGACCACAAGUACGCAGUAGGUCUAGACUUCAUUGACGUUGUGAUGAGAUAUUCAUGUUGUGAAUUUACAGACACAAUAUUGCAGAAUUAGCUUUGGAUUGUAUUCCCUCCCGAAUCUUGAUUUAUACCAAGAAGGACACAAACAGUUUCAAGAAUGUUUGGACAAGUGAUUUUGAUGGUUGCCACAAUACAGACAAUAUGUGGACAUUUACAUAUACAACAUCACUCAGAGGGACCGACAAAUAGCCCUAUCCUGGCCUCGAGCACCAAUAUACUAACCAGUAUAGCCUGUGCCAAUGAUGUGAGAUGUCAUUGUAAAGCUUCAGCCAGCGGUGGUGUAGUAGCGGAUUGCUCAAACUCGAAAAUUUCUGUUAUACCCUAUUUCAAUGCCACUGUCCCUACGAUAAUACUACGAAGGAACAAUAUUAGAUAUUUAAAGUUCGACGAUAAUCAAGUGCUCAGUUCUAUUUUGUAUCUGGAUAUUUCUGAGAACAAACUGAAAAAAUUAUUGGCGAUCCAUUCCAACC